CCUACGGGUGGCUGCAGUGAGGAAUAUUGGUCAAUGGACGCAAGUCUGAACCAGCCAUGCCGCGUGCAGGAAGACGGCUCUAUGAGUUGUAAACUGCUUUUGUAAGAGGGUAAACGCAGAUACGCGUAUCUGUCUGAAAGUAUCGUACGAAUAAGGAUCGGCGAACUCCGUGCCAGCAGCCGCGGUAAUACGGAGGAUUCAAGCGUUAUCCGGAUUUAUUGGGUUUAAAGGGUGCGUAGGCGGUCGGGUAAGUUAGAGGUGAAAUCCCGAGGCUCAACUUCAGAAUUGCCGCUGAUACUGGUCGGCUUGAGUGUAGUUGCGGUAGGCGGAAUGUGUGGUGUAGCGGUGAAAUGCUUAGAGAUCAUACAGAACACCGAUUGCGAAGGCAGCUUACCAAGCUACUUCUGACGUUGAGGCACGAAAGCGUGGGUAGCAAACAGGAUUAGAUACCCUUGUAGUC
rnacentral:rRNA from 1 species